rnacentral:rRNA from 1 species
AUGUACUCUGAUAACUACUUUGUGAAACUACCUAGGAGGGUCAGUGGAUAUUCUGGUUUGGAUUGGGUGCACGAGACACUAGCCCGAGAUACCCAAUGCUAUAACAUGUUUAGGGUUGAGAGACCUUUGUUUAAUAGGCUACAUAAUACUUUGGUGCAAUCAUAUGGCUUGAAGUCCACUACAAAAAUGACAUCUGUAGAGGCUCUAGCUAUGUUUUUAUGGAUUGUUGGAUCACCACAGUCAGUUAGACAGGCUGAGAACCGUUUCAGAAGGUCUAUGGAGACAGUAAGUAGGACAUUUAAUAGAGUUUUGGCAUGA